UAUUCUCUCUCUCUCUCUCUCUCUCUCUCUUAUUUUGUCUGCCUGCGGGCUGUAGCUUUCCAUUUGUAAUGGCAGCAACUACUGCCUUCAGGUUUUUCCUUAUAGCUCCAUUUCUAGCAAUAGUUAUCCUCGGAUUCUUCUACCAAUCAUCUUCUUACGGCGUCGCUGGUAACAUCUCAGAACGAUCUCGUCAGGUGGCGCUAGUGGUGGUCAGACUCACCGGAAUCUGUUAGCUGCUACUGCUGCUCAGAGGAAACCCGAUCAGCACCUCCCAAGCUGCGGUGAAAUGGCGGGAAAGUUGCCGUGCUUGAAGAAUUCCAGAUGCCGGUGGUGCCGAAGCGAGGCACUCGAUGAUAUGUGCUUUUCUAAGUCUGAAGCUUUUCGAUUGCCCUCUCAGGUCUUCUCUUGUGAUUGAUCUCUUUCUCUCUAGUUCACUGAUUGGAACAUGUGUUGUAAUUUUAAUGGAGAUUUGUGGAUUGAAGCAUUGGGAGCAAUCUGUUCUUUUGUUGAUUAAUUUUAUGUGGUUUGGAUUGGAAAUGAGAUGCUUCUGGUUUAAUUUCGAAUUGCAACUUUAAAUUUUAGGAACUGGGAAAAUAGCUUUUGUUUGUUAGUGUGGAUCAGUGCUCUUGUCAUUAUCAUUUGGGUUAUUUUAUUCAUUUUGUUUUUUGAAGUUUUUGUUGUAUAAAAUUUAUCAUUUUCUGGUUCCAAAUAAGACAUCUGAUCUACUGGCAUGUAUACAGAUUUAGAUACACACAUACAUAUAUCUGCUGGGUUUCUUCAUAUCCGUUUUAUCAAAAUUGAUCGCAAUCUUUUUCCAUCUCCCCUUAUAGACAAACACACACACACACACACACACACACAUAUACUUACGUACAUAUGAUAUUUGUAUAAAUGAGUGCUAAAAAAUGAUCAUUUGCUUUUACUUCAUGGUUUUCGUAAAUCAAAGGAUGUGAUCCCAGGACAGAUUUAUGGAUCACGCAUGUCUGGAGAGAGGAGUAAUGCUUUGAUUUUCUCCCGUGAGUAAAGGAAUAAGAUGGAGAACAUCUGGUCAUGAGUAUCAUCUAAGUGCCACAUGGAUCUUCAUUGAAUGGUAGUAUUUCUGCUAGCUUGCUCGAAAAGCUGCAUUGCUGAGUUAGUGCCAUACUUACGAAUUUUUAAAGUUUUUUCAUAGGUAUCAUGUUGAGUUUUUUGAAUUAUACUAUAGUUCUUGAAAAAAUAUAUCGGAAAUUAUUAGCUGCAUCCUGUCUUUUAUAGGAGGCUGAAGCUAUUGAAUUUAUGAUCUUGUCUGAUGAGUUGGGUGAGUUUUGAUUCGAAAGUGAUAUAAUUAUGAAUGCUUUCAGUUUUCCUUAUUGGUAGUUUAGAUAUCUGUAGCUUCUCUGUUGUGUAAGGUGUCACUUAAGUCAUGGUAUGGAGUUAUCAGGUACAACUGUUUCUCUAUUCCUUAGUGAAGCUCCAACAGAAACAGGGUGCUCUGUAUUUAUUCAAAGCUGGUAAGCCUCUUUCACCACCUUAUGAAGUGGAAUAUACCACAUGUGUGUGUGUGGAGGUGUGUAUGCAUUUAUGUAUAAAAAUAAACAAAGAAGAAGAAAAAAGAGGAGCUGAAAGGGAGUAGUGUUAUGUGGGUAAU
rnacentral:lncRNA from 1 species